UUAAGACAAAUUUGUAUGGAGUUGGAGCGUUUGCUAUGUUUGCGGGUAGGGGCACUGUUCCAGCUGCAUACAAAUUUGACUUA
rnacentral:pre_miRNA from 1 species